rnacentral:rRNA from 1 species
UACGUAGGGUGCAAGCGUUGUCCGGAAUUAUUGGGCGUAAAGGGCUCGUAGGCGGCCAACUAAGUCAGACGUGAAAUCCCUCGGCUUAACCGGGGAACUGCAUCUGAUACUGGAUGGCUUGAGUUCGGGAGAGGGAUGCGGAAUUCCAGGUGUAGCGGUGAAAUGCGUAGAUAUCUGGAGGAACACCGGUGGCGAAGGCGGCAUCCUGGACCGACACUGACGCUGAGGAGCGAAAGCCAGGGGAGCAAACGGG